UGGGGAAUAUUGCACAAUGGGCGAAAGCCUGAUGCAGCAACGCCGCGUGAGUGAUGAAGGCCUUCGGGUUGUAAAGCUCUGUCUUUUGGGACGAUAAUGACGGUACCAAAGGAGGAAGCCACGGCUAACUACGUGCCAGCAGCCGCGGUAAUACGUAGGUGGCAAGCGUUGUCCGGAUUUACUGGGCGUAAAGGAUGCGUAGGCGGAUUUUUAAGUGAGAUGUGAAAUACCCGGGCUUAACUUGGGUGCUGCAUUUCAAACUGGGAAUCUAGAGUGCGGGAGAGGAGAAUGGAAUUCCUAGUGUAGCGGUGAAAUGCGUAGAGAUUAGGAAGAACACCAGUGGCGAAGGCGAUUCUCUGGACCGUAACUGACGCUGAGGCAUGAAAGCGUGGGUAGCAAACAGGAUUAGAUACCCUGGUAGUCCACGCCGUAAACGAUGAGUACUAGGUGUAGGAGGUAUCGACCCCUUCUGUGCCGCAGUUAACACAAUAAGUACUCCGCCUGGGAAGUACGAUCGCAAGAUUAAAACUCAAAGGAAUUGGGGUCAUAGCUGUUUCCU
rnacentral:rRNA from 1 species